UACGGAGGAUCCAAGCGUUAUCCGGAUUUAUUGGGUUUAAAGGGUGCGUAGGCGGCCUGUUAAGUCAGGGGUGAAAGACGGUGGCUCAACCAUCGCAGUGCCUUUGAUACUGACGGGCUUGAAUGAACCUGAGGUAGGCGGAAUGUGACAAGUAGCGGUGAAAUGCAUAGAUAUGUCACAGAACACCAAUUGCGAAGGCAGCUUACUAAAGUUUAAUUGACGCUGAGGCACGAAAGCGUGGGGAUCAAACAGG
rnacentral:rRNA from 1 species